rnacentral:rRNA from 1 species
CCUACGGGUGACAGCAGUGAGGAAUAUUGGUCAAUGGGCGCGAGCCUGAACCAGCCAAGUCGCGUGAGGGAUGAAGGUUCUAUGGAUCGUAAACCUCUUUUAUAAGGGAAUAAAGUGUGGGACGUGUCCUAUUUUGUAUGUACCUUAUGAAUAAGGAUCGGCUAACUCCGUGCCAGCAGCCGCGGUACUCCGGAGGAUGCGAGCGUUAGCCGGAUUUAUUGGGUUAAAAGGGUGCGUAGGCGGAGUGUCAAGUCAGCGGUAAAAUUUCGGGGCUCAACCCCGUCGUGCCGUUGAAACUGACGCCCUGGAGUGAGUGAGAAGUAAGCGGAAUGCGUGGUGUAGCGGUGAAAUGCAUAGAUAUCACGCAGAACGCCGAUUGCGAAGGCAGCUUACCGGCGCGUAACUGACGCUGAGGCACGAAAGUGCGGGUAUCGAACAGGAUUAGAUACCCCGGUAGUC